rnacentral:rRNA from 1 species
UACGUAGGGUGCGAGCGUUAAUCGGAAUUACUGGGCGUAAAGCGUGCGCAGGCGGUGAUGUAAGACCGAUGUGAAAUCCCCGGGCUUAACCUGGGAACUGCAUUGGUGACUGCAUUGCUGGAGUAUGGCAGAGGGGGUGGAAUUCCACGUGUAGCAGUGAAAUGCGUAGAGAUGUGGAGGAACACCGAUGGCGAAGGCAGCCCCCUGGGCCAAUACUGACGCUCAUGCACGAAAGCGUGGGGAGCAAACAGG